GGAGCUAUAGCUCAGUGGUAGAGCACUUGCUUUACAUGCAUGAGUUCCUGGGCUAACCCCCCAGUUCUACCA
rnacentral:tRNA from 1 species